rnacentral:lncRNA from 1 species
AAAGCACUUGGCUGGAGUGCAAAGAUAUGGAAAACCUGACCACCCCACUAAGCACUGCAACCAGAUCUCUUCUGUGAAUCUUUUCAGAUGCUGAAUUGCUGCAGAGAGCAAGAUCCCUGCCACAGAUCUCCAGUCCACAGUGAAAAAGCAAAUUAGUGCCAUGUGCAAGAAGCAAGAUGACAACAGCAGAUGCACCUAAAGGAAAGCAGGGUUAACAGAGCUCUGGCUGCUGCUGAGACCGUUCUAGCUGAUCAAGUGGCCUGGUCGUUACUGGAGCAUGGGGAGGUGCUGAACUGAUCUCGCUCAGGUCUCGAUAUCUGCUAUUCAAAGAAAUGUGUCUGGGACAUGCAGGAGAGAAAGGCAGAAGGGAGACUUACAUCACCUGUUGUUACCUUUCUAAGCACAGGGGUUGCCGGCAAGCCAAAGAUCCCUGCCUCAGCACACUGUUUCUGCUCUGGAGAUCCAGCUGCAGGGACAGAGCUCAUGACCCCAGACGGUUCCAAGUGCAAAUGUAAAGCUGGCACAGCCAAAGCAAAUACAGGUAACUCAGAGAUUUCAGCAAUGCUACUGAGCAAUUGCACAAGCUGAAAUACUGGCUCUGUGAUGUGUCUA